UACGUAGGGACCAAGCGUUGUCCGGAAUCAUUGGGCGUAAAGAGCGUGUAGGCGGCUUGUUAAGUCUUGCGUGAAAUCUCGGGGCUCAACCCCGAGCGGUCGUGAGAAACUGGCAGGCUAGAGUGCGGGAGAGGAGAGUGGAAUUCCUGGUGUAGCGGUGAAAUGCGCAGAUAUCAGGAAGAACACCCGUGGCGAAGGCGGCUCUCUGGAACGCAACUGACGCUGGGACGCGAAAGCGUGGGGAGCAAACAGG
rnacentral:rRNA from 1 species